UGAAGUCAGACGCUUAACCAACUGAGCCACCCAGGUGCCCCUAAAGCAGAAUAUUCCUUAUAUGCUGAGCACUUAAUUAUACCAAAUUUCCCUACCAUGGAUAAUUCUAUCUGCCUUAUUGAGAAAGACCUGUGGCUAGGUGCCCUAUGUCUGGCCUGGAGUAAGGAGACUUUUGUGUUUGUGUGAAGAAAGUUCAGUCAUAAUAAUGAUAUCUGAGAAUCUUCCUCUUUGGGUGAUUGACUCAGCAUGAUCCAGUAUGGUUGUGACCCAUCAUGCCCUCUCCCACAUGUGGAGCUAAUAUGAAAUGAGUUGGGAAAACUGAUUCACAUCCUUAUAUGCAGAGGAACCCUGUUACAAAAAUCUAAUAAUACUACAGAAUUCCUGGCAAAAUAAGUGCUUCCCUGGGGAAAGGCAAGGCUCCCGGCUCAAUGCUUAUUAAAGGUAUUGUGAUGUAGUAGAAAGCUCAUUGACCUUGGAUUGGAAAGGCCUUCACUCGAUCUCAGCUCUACCACAUAUUAGCUGUGGAACCUCAUAUAGGUUACUUGGGCCUCUCUUGUCUGUAAACGAUGAUAGCACACUACAUCACAAGUUGUCAUGACACACCUGGAAGCAAGCACCCAGUGGCAUGCACGGCAUAACCAGAAAGAACAACUGACAAACGCUAGUAAAAACAUCAAAGAGCACAGAGAGAUUUUUCAUUUAAAAAAGACCUAGCACCAUUUGUAGACGUAAGUAGUAUCUAUUGUGCUGUCAGCGACUACCCAUGUGCAUGGUUCAUGUGUCAACUUGGCUGGGCUUUGAUGCCGAGACAUUCAGCCAAACACCAGUCUAGAUGUCACUGUGAAGGUAUAUUUUAGCUUUUACAUCAGUAGACUUGGAGGAAAGCAGAUUUACUCCCCAUUGUGUGUAGGCGUUGUCCAAUCUGUCAAGACCUUAAGAAGAAAAGAUUGAGGAAUUCUACUGGCAGGCUGCUUUCAGACUAGAGCUCCAAUGUCAGUUCUUCCCUGGUCUCCAGCCUGCUGACCUGCUCUGCAGAUUUGGGACUUGCCAGACCUCACAACUGUGUGAGCCAGUUCCUUAAAAUAAAUCUCUAUGUAGAUACACCUCCUAUCGGUUCUAUUUCUCUUACACAGCCUGCCCUGCUCACUAGGUGGUCAUUAAGUGUCAGGAACUAUAUCCAACUCAUCUUUAUAUCCUCAGCACCUAGCCCAGUGCCAGAUAUAUGAUGACCACGUUUAACGCUGAUGAUGCAGGAAGAAAAGACAGAAUGGCUCUUCUCUGGCAGUUGUUUAACGCAAAUGGAUCUCAAAGGUCAGGAAUGAGAAGAUGAAAACGGAAUUGAAGCAGAUUAAAUCAAGGCACAACAUUGUCACCCAUGGUACAUGUACAUCUGCACCCAGGGUUCUGCUCAGAGAACCCUCACAGAGCUUCUUUCUCUCUGCGCCACCUUUUUAAAAUCUUUAUUUAUUUGCGGGGAAGGGGGGCAGAGAGACAAAGGGGGAGACCCAG